rnacentral:rRNA from 1 species
GACGAACGCUGGCGGCGUGCUUAACACAUGCAAGUCGAACGGUAAGGCCCUUCGGGGUACACGAGUGGCGAACGGGUGAGUAACACGGGGGUGAUCUGCCCUGCACUUCGGGAUAAGCCUGGGAAACUGGGUCUAAUACCGGAUAGGACCACUGCCUGCAUGGGUGGUGGUGGAAAGCUUGUGCGGUGUGGGAUGGGCUCGCGGCCUAUCAGCCCGUUGGUGGGGUGAUGGCCUACCAAGGCGACGACGGGUAGCCGGCCUGAGAGGGUGACCGGCCACACUGGGAAUGAGAUACGGCCCAGACUCCUACGGGAGGCAGCAGUGGGGAAUAUUGCACAAUGGGCGCAAGCCUGAUGCAGCGACGCCGCGUGAGGGAUGACGGCCUUCGGGUUGUAAACCUCUUUCAGCACCGACGAAGCGCAAGUGACGGUAGGUGCAGAAGAAGGACCGGCCAACUACGUGCCAGCAGCCGCCGUAA